rnacentral:rRNA from 1 species
AGCGAACGCUGGCGGCAGGCCUAACACAUGCAAGUCGAACGGAUCCUUCGGGAUUAGUGGCGGACGGGUGAGGAACACGUGGGAACGUGCCUUUUGGUUCGGAACAACUCAGGGGAAACUUGAGCUAAUACCGGAUGUGCCCUUCGGGGGAAAGAUUUAUCGCCAUUAGAGCGGCCCGCGUCUGAUUAGCUAGUUGGUGGGGUAAAGGCUCACCAAGGCUACGAUCAGUAGCUGGUCUGAGAGGAUGAUCAGCCACACUGGGACUGAGACACGGCCCAGACUCCUACGGGAGGCAGCAGUGGGGAAUCUUGCGCAAUGGGGCGAAAGCCUGACGCAGCCAUGCCGCGUGAAUGAUGAAGGUCUUAGGAUUGUAAAAUUCUUUUACCCGGGAUGAUAAUGACAGUACCGGGAGAAUAAGCCCCGGCUAACUCCGUGCCAGCAGCCGCGGUAAU